UACGAAGGGUGCAAGCGUUGCUCGGAAUUAUUGGGCGUAAAGGGUAGGUAGGUGGUCUUAUUUGUCGUAGGUGAAAUCCUUGGGCUCAACCCGAGACGUGCCUACGAAACGGUAAGACUAGAGUGAUAGAGGGGUUUGUGGAAUUCCCGGUGUAGCGGUGAAAUGCGUAGAGAUCGGGAGGAACACCAGCGGCGAAGGCGGCAAACUGGAUAUCAACUGACACUCAACUACGAAAGCGUGGGGAUCAAAC
rnacentral:rRNA from 1 species